rnacentral:rRNA from 1 species
UAUAAAUUAUUUGUUUCAUUAUUAUUAUUAUUUUUUAUUAGUAUAACAAUAAAUUUUUUAUUAAAUUUUCUGAUAUGGAUUAUUAAUAUUUUUAUAUUAUAAUUUUUUAUUACCUUUUGUAUCAGGGUUUAUUUAUUUAUUAAAUUAUUUGUCUUUCCCGAAUUGAAAAGUUCAUAUUGAUUUUUAUUUUUAUUGUUUCAUAACUUUAUUAAAAUUUUAUUUUGUAGAAAAAUUCUAUUCGAUUUUCAUUUUAUCUGGUUUCCUUAGAUUAAAUUAAAUUUUAAAUCUUUUGUUAAGUUUUUAUUUAAUAAGGGAUAAUCUUUAUUAUUUUUUAAAAUUUAUUUUAAUUAAAUUAUAUUAACCUUAGAAUUUUGUAUUGAGUUAUUAAUAUAUUAUUUUUUUUUUGUGAAUAUUUAUUUAAAUUUAUUUUUUUAUAAGGUUAAAUUUAUUUAUUAAUUAUUUAAUUUUAAUAAUGAUUUAAUUAGUAAAAUUUUAUUUUAAUGAUUAAUGAAUUCGACAAUUUUAAUUUUCAACUGUUUAUCAAAAACAUUUUUUUUAGAUUAUAUUAAAGAUAUAUUCUGCCCUAUGAUUGGUUUUAAAUGGCUGCAGUAUAUUAACUGUACAAAGGUAGCAUAAUAAUUAGUUUUUUAAUUGAGGACUGGAAUGAAAGAUUUUAUGAAGAGUUAAUUUUAUUAUUUAUAAAUUUUUAAUUUUAUUUUUAGGUAAAAAAGCUUAAUAAAUAUUUAGGGACGAAAAGACCCUAUAGAACUUUAUAUAAAUUUAUUUAGUUUAGAUUUAAAUCUAAUUUUUAAUUAUAGCUUUAUAUUCCGUUGGGGUGACGAAUAAAUUAAUCUUUAUUUAGGCUUUACAUUAAUUUAUGUUUUCUAGACUUAUUUUUUAUUUUAAGAAAAAGUUACCUUAGGGAUAACAGCGUAAUUAUAAUGGUAAGUUCAUAUUUAUAUUAUAGUUUGCGACCUCGAUGUUGAAUUAAGAAAAAUAAAGGAAGAAGAAUUUUUUUUAUUAAGUCUGUUCGACUUUUAAAUUCUUACAUGAUUUGAGUUCAAACCGGUGUAAGCCAGGUUGGUUUCUAUCUUAAAUUUAUUGGGUUAGUUUAGUACGAAAGGACCAUCUAAUUUAUUAUUGAAAUUU